rnacentral:ncRNA from 1 species
AAUACACUUACGUUAUCUCGUAUAUGUGCUGGAAUAGGCCAGCAUGUCUCUACCCGAUCACCGCAAAUGAUUGGACUACGGGAGAAUCAAUAU